GUAGGGAAUAUUGGACAAUGGGCGGAAGCCUGAUCCAGCCAUGCCGCGUGGAGGAUGACUGCCCUCUGGGUUGUAAACUCCUUUUGUACAGGAAGAAACCUCCUCAUUAAUGAGUGAGCUGACGGUACUGUAAGAAUAAGCACCGGCUAACUCCGUGCCAGCAGCCGCGGUAAUACGGAGGGUGCAAGCGUUAUCCGGAUUCACUGGGUUUAAAGGGUGCGUAGGCGGUUUUAUAAGUCAGUGGUGAAAUCAACGGGCUCAACCUGUUAACUGCCAUUGAUACUGUAGGACUUGAAUAUGAGAGAGGUAGGCGGAAUGUUGCAUGUAGCGGUGAAAUGCUUAGAUAUGCUACGGAACACCGAUUGCGAAGGCAGCUCACUAAGUCUGAAUUGACGCUCAUGGACGAAAGCGCGGGUAGCAAACAGGAUUAGAAACCCGGGUAGUCC
rnacentral:rRNA from 1 species